rnacentral:rRNA from 1 species
AGAGUUUGAUCCUGGCUCAGGACGAACGCUGGCGGCGUGCUUAACACAUGCAAGUCGAGCGGAAAGGCCACUUCGGUGGUACUCGAGCGGCGAACGGGUGAGUAACACGUGAGUAAUCUGCCCUUCACUUCGGGAUAGCUCCGGGAAACCGGGAUUAAUACCGGAUAUGACUACCUUCGGCAUCGGGGGUGGUGGAAAGUUUUUUCGGUGGGGGAUGUGCUCGCGGCCUAUCAGCUUGAUGGUGGGGUAAUGGCCUACCAUGGCUUCGACGGGUAGCCGGCCUGAGAGGGUGACCGGCCACACUGGGACUGAGACACGGCCCAGACUCCUACGGGAGGCAGCAGUGGGGAAUAUUGGACAAUGGGCGGAAGCCUGAUCCAGCAACGCCGCGUGAGGGAUGACGGCCUUCGGGUUGUAAACCUCUUUCAGCACAGACGAAGCGAAAGUGACGGUAUGUGCAGAAGAAGGACCGGCCAACUACGUG